AAUUUUACAAUGUCUAAGAUGACUAAUUAUUGAUUGGACAUAGAAUAAUUCUGAACUCAACAUGGAUAUAUGUAGGUUUCCUUGUUCAAUUUGUUAUUUGUGCCCCUUAGGAGAUCUGUAACAUAUUUAAAUGAAGAUCUUAUGCAUGCAAGAUGCAAAGGUGAUUCACAUACUUAAACAAGCGAUUCAUACCACUUUGUGAGGUGAAAAAAGAUCUCUAGGAUGAUGUGAACGUCAAUUAGGUGUUUGAACAUUGUAAGCAUUUUUUUGGAUGUGAUGUGCCUAAGAAUUCCUUGGUUAGUUUGUGGUGAUUAUUCUCCGAUGGAUACAUACAACUUCUGUUCCUUGUUAGUUUAUGGUAUUAGUUUGUCAUGAACAUUGAAAUUGUCAUUAACUAAAAUACAAUAAAUGUAUACUCUAUGAUGACAUGAAACAUGAUCUUUGACUAUUUAUUUUUAAAAAUUGUGACUUAUUGGAUGUUUCAGUGUGAAGCCUUUAAAUGAUAAAUUAAGAGGCCCUUAAUAGUACCGCACUUCCAAAAUGAUCUUAUUCAUUUUUUUGGCUUGUCAUGUGCGUGAGAGAUUCCCUUUUCUCUUUUGGGCCUUUUACCCCAAUUACCUUUGGGACAAAAUUGUCAAAACCAUUGUGUGAAGCUACUGAAACUGAAACUAAUGCUUGGUUGAAAUCAAGUGUUUGAACUAACCAAAUGAGGCUCCACUUUCAGUGAAAGAUAAUUAAGCAAGGAAUAAGUAAAAAUAUAAUUGGUGAUGUUACAACUCUCUUUGGCCAGGAAUUAAGCAUUUCUCUAGGUGAUGGAGUGAGUCCUUGAAAUCUAGUUUUCAAACCCACCAAAGAAAAGCUAAUCUAAUACAUGAUAAUUAAAUUAGAGAAGGAACAAAUGUUCUUUUUGAAGUUAAAUAAAAAGAAAAGCAAAAGCAGAAGAUAGGUGGAUAUGGCUGCUCUUUGGAAAUAAAACAAAGCAUCACACUAGGUUCUUAAAUAAGGUCUUGAUGAGCAAUGCUACCAUGAUGGUUGAAGCGGACAGACAGGUCUAUUGAAUUGCACUAUUAAAAUAGGAGGAAACUUUUUUGGAUAGAAGAAUCUUCAUUUAAUAAUUCAAGCCAACCUUUACAGUGUAUGGCUUUGAAUUUAUUGGUAUAUUGGAGGUUUUAAUUGUUAAAGCAAUUUAAAUAACCAUAACCAUUGCUACAAUCAUUGAGCCUUGUUCCAUCUUCUAGAGGUCAGUUCUGACUUCUGAGAGAAGAAUAUGAAUAUGGUACUGAGAGAAGUAAUUUGAUCUGCAAUAGAGAAAAGGAUAUAUGCAUAAUCAGCAUGCUAUAAUUGCUGACAUGUAUGCUGAGACGAUAAGAAAUAUCAGUAGUAGUUGUUGUGAGGCAUGUGUAGUUUCAAGAAUGUUGGGUUUACAGUAAGCUUCAGUGCUGAACCUACGUCUCUAGAUACCAGUUACAAGGGAACAUACUGCUAAUGUUUAGGAAGAUUAGCUGUGGUGAAUGAUAUUUGCAGACUACGACAGGGUUUACUGAUCAGAAGAGAACAAUAUUAAUUGAUACUUGCUAGAGUUAUGCUAGAUAACUUUUUAACGUAAAGACCUAAAAGUUAGUACAGAAAAAACAAAAUAUGGGGAAUGUAAUUUUUGAUGGGAACAUAAAUGAAGCUGAGGCUUCAGACAAAAUUAUUGCCCAAGAGAUACCCCAGUAUGGUCAGUUUCAUUAUCUUUAAUUUAUUUAUUCUAAAGAAUGGAGAGAUGGAGAAAUCAAAUAAAACUAGAGUUGGUUGGAUGAAGUUCUGAGAGGCUUCCUGGGGCAAUAUCUAGUUGACACACUUCUUAGUGACAUGACAAAAAGUCUUAAAACCAAAACUCAAGUCUUCAAAUGUUUUAUGGUUCAUAAGCAUCUGCAGCAAAGAGGGUUUGAGUAAGCAAGAUAAUUAUGAUAAAAGUGUUUUCAUUGAGAUGGAUAUAUGAUGAAACAAGGAUAGAAUAAGCAAUGUGUGCAUAAGAGGAAAUGUAGGAGUUGCACCGAAAAGAAAUGUAUAAAUAAUGGAGAACUGAUUGAGCAAAUAGUAUGCAUGUGCAACCAUGGUCUUAGGAGUCUAGUAAGAAAAGUGCUUGAAUACUUGUCCAAGGAUAUCUACAAAGAAGACGAGACGACCUUGUCUUGCAUGGAUGACAGUUGUGAGAAGGAUUAUAGCUCAUAAACAUUGGAGGUGGCCUCGUAGGAACAACUGGAAGAUGAUGACUCGUAAAGCUAAAAAUGAAUAUUUGGGAAGAGAUUUGAUUGUAAUUGUUAUUUUUUUUUCUUUAAGAUGAUCAAUUACAUGGAUUGUCAAUUUAUAUGGCACUCCAUGCAGUUACUGCCUAACUUGAUUCAUAGAAUAGUCCUAUACUUCUUAUAUUUUGAAGCCCAAAUGGAUGAAUAUGGCUGGAAUCUCACAGGCUUAUUCUACAACAAAAUGAUUUCUUAGUGGCUUGUAUAAAUAUUAGCAAAACAAGAAUUUAUCUGUAGAUGUUAGAAGUUUUUUUACAAUUAAAUGCCAGGAAACACUAUUCUUUGCUGUCGAUUUGGAAUAAAAAGAAAAAAAAAUUAAAGGAGAGAAGGACAAGUUUUUCUUACAUUAUUGAGUAGGCAUCUAAUGAUAAAGCAAGGAAGCUUUUGUGAAAUUGUAUUCAUUUAUUAAAGUUGUCUUGACUGAUGAUUAAAGUGCUCUGAUGUAUUACUUCGUGUAUGCAAGAUGUAUCAUACGAUGGGUUUUUGAUAUGAUAUGGAGAAAGUACCUAUUUGCCAUCUAUGAUGUCUUAUGUCAUACCAAUUUAUAGCACAUUUGCAGUACAAGAUUGUAUGCAUUUCAGUUUUAAAAUCUGUGCUAACAGCUUUGUUCUUGUUCAAAAUAGUUUUGAACUCUUCCCAUUGAACUUAUUUUCAAAAACCAAUCGAGGUUCUAAACUAUCAACCCAACAUGGCAAUAACAAACUUGUUAGUCUACAUUAGACCAAUGGUUCGAAAUUGAGACAACUUAUAAUUUAUAAGUUUCCAACAAUACUUUGUGUACGUGAUCUUCCCAUGAUACUUCUAAUGCACGAAAUGCUACAAUGUGUUUGUUAAUCUGCCAACACAAUCAUGCAACAUGAUUUAGCGUAUGGUACCAUACCGUACCGAACUAGAUGGUAAAGAGCAUACUGUACCAUACCGAUUUAGUACAGGUACAUGGUACAUGAGGUAAACCGAUACUCGGUACAUUGAACCAGCCUCCAUACCAGACUUACCGAUAUAGUGGCGGGGUGACACCGGUACGAGGCCUGGUACCAAGAUGGCGUAUCUUGAUUUAGUGUGAUAAAUUACUUGGCACUGUGGAACACAUGUUAAACAUUAUUUAGUGUGAUAAAUUACUUUUGAAUAAUUUAUGAUCUUAUUUUCCUAAAAAUAAGCAAAAACUUAUUUUUGUUUGCAUUUUAUUUUUUUAAAAAAAUCAUAUAUCAUAGCUUCCCAGUCUUGAAUCUUUUUAUAGACUGGUGCUUCUUUUCAUGCCAAUGCAUUCCAGUUAUCAGCUCUGUGCUACAUGGUGCGUGUACUGUAUUAAAGGCAUAAUUCACUCCAGUUUGGUCAUUAGUCUUACCGAUUAAAGCGCAUAAAUACUUUGACCGCACACACCGAAGUUUUCUUAUCAGAUCAUUGAUAGGUGAGUUUUGUAAGAAAACUUGGUAAGAAUGUUAUGGUACCCUCUGACCAUUGAAGAGGAACUUACGCCUCCUCUAGUAGAGCGACAUAUUGGGAAACUUGUUUUUUUCUCAGCAUUUGUGCGCUUUCAAUAGGUAUUCUUAGUCAGCACUUGGUUUACCUCCUAAUUUCAAACAGUUUAGCACUUGGUUUCUCGUUACUUGAUGAAUGCUUAUUUUACAAAACCUAGCUGUUGCUGUACCAUGGAAUAACUCUGCUCGGUGGUGUUGGACUUCUUAAUGGGUAUUCUCAUUCUUCAUAUUUCUAAUGCCUUAAAUGCACACCAAAAUCAACUAUUAACGGACGUGGAACUCCAAGCUUUCCGCAGCCAGUGUGUCUCCUUUGCAUUCCUCGUGCCUGUCACUAUUAUGUGAAAAACAACAGUUUUCUUAUCAUAAACUCCCCGACAUAACCAUUUUUUCUUAAUAAAAUCUUUUAUGGAAAGUCUUUUUUCCCUUCUUAAGUUUUGCAUUUCUCUUCCCAACUAAUAAAGUGGAACUCUUUUUGGUUAUUUUUCUAUUUUAAUGUUUGUAGUGUUUCCGCAAAACCUUGUUAUGCUUAAAAUUUAUCAAUUUUGAUUAUGCUCAAUCUUGCCUUAACUUGAGUUUUGCCUAUAAAAAUACAAAAUGCAAUUAUUCUGUUUGGUUUUCAAAGAACAAAUUAUUUAAAGAUCUAAGUGAUGGUCUGAAGAGAGUCGUGAGGAUCGAAAUUUUUUUUUACUCAAUAUUAUUUUUCAUUUUUCUCUUCUGUGCCUUUAUGGGUGCAUGCUUUAGCUUGUAUGCAUAACAGAUGUCAUAGAUGUGAUGCUACAAGCUGCAAAAGAAGUCAUAAAAGGACAAGUAGGAGGGCAAUUAUUAAGUUAUUUUUCCAUCUUUGGUGCUCGUUAAGCGAGGAGGAAGAAAGACAAGAAGGUUUUAUAGUAUUUGGAGUCCAAGAAUAACUGAAAAAAGAAACUAGAGGGCUACAAUGGGAGCACCCAAUGCAUUCUAAACACGAGCAUGCACUGUUUCAGGGGAAGAGCACUUUAAAAAGAAAGUGUGUGUUUGUGUCAGAACUUUUUUUGUUGUGUUAUAAAGAAUGUAUCUGUGUCUUUGACAAAGUUGUAAUAUUGAUCAUUUAGGUGCAUCUUGUAUAAUCUGAUGGAGGAACUAUUUGGUUCAUUUCCAAAUCUUGGAGUUCCCAAUGUACAAUGAGAACUAUUAGAAAACAUAAUGAUAACUUUGGGAAUCUAAAUGUAAUUCAGCAUCAUAAAUAGUUUCUGAAAGUUGCAGUCAUCUUUUCCCAUAAUUUUAAUGGCUGGUAUAUAUCCACUUUGAUGGAGGGAAAGGAAGUUAAAUCUGUGUAUUGUGGAGUAGUCUUGGGACGCCUUUUGCAUCUGGUUGAGACCUCUACAAAUUGAGAAAUUGGUUUUGCACAACGUGUUUAUUGAGAUCAAGAAACCAUUAGCUAGAACUUUGCCAACUUCAAAUUUGAGAGCAUUGAGCUUAUGGAUUUCAAAUAAGUAGUUUGAUGCUUGUUGAAAACCUAUAUGCUUUAGGUGUUCCCUUAGAACAUGGUAUUUCUAAACCAAUUUAUUAUUCCAUUCAACUUCUGAGCAUUUGCAACUAGCUGGAAGUUGGGUAAUGCACUUGGGUGGAUAAAUUAGUAUUUAACGCCAUCUUGAAACUGAACAUACAAUCAUAUACCUUGAUUUGCUAAGAAGGCAUAACGUAUCUUUGAAGCUGAUUAUUUCAUAUCUCAGUUUCAUAAUUUUUGUCUUGUUUUCUGCUUCUUUGUGGAAUAGCUGUUAUAUUCAUAUUCUUUAUUUCCCCCUUAAUCCUUUGUUGAUUAACAUUAAACUAUAUGA